rnacentral:tRNA from 1 species
UUUUCUGUGGCUUAGUUGGUUAAAGCGCCGUACUUGGGCUACAGAGUUGGGGGGUUCGAAUCCCACCGAACCAA